AUUGAACGCUUGCGGCAGGCCUAACACAUGCAAGUCGAGCGAGCGGCGGACGGGUGAGUAAUGUAUGGGGAUCUGCCCGCUAGAGGGGGAUAACUACGGGAAACGGUAGCUAAUACCGCAUACUAUCGGAUGUGCCAAGAUGGGAUUAGCUAGUAGGUGGGGUAAAGGCUCACCUAGGCGACGAUCCCUAGCUGGUCUGAGAGGAUGAGCAGCCACACUGGGACUGAGACACGGUCCAGACUCCUACGGGAGGCAGCAGUGGGGAAUAUUGCACAAUGGGGGCAAGCCUGACGCAGCCAUGCCGCGUGUAUGAAGAAGGCCUUCGGGUUGUAAAGUUCUUUCGGUGGCGAGGCGUUAACUACAGAAGAAGAACCGGCUAACUCCGUGCCAGCAGCCGCGGUAAUAC
rnacentral:rRNA from 1 species